rnacentral:misc_RNA from 1 species
UUUCCGUAGGUGAACCUGCGGAAGGAUCAUUACAGAGUUCAUGCCCUCACGGGUAGCUCUCCCACCCUUGAAUAUUUAUACCUUAGUUGCUUUGGCAGGCCGUGGAAACACCAUGGGCUCCGGCUUAUGCGUGCCUGCCAGAGGAAACAAACUCUGUUUUUAGUGAUGUCUGAGUACUAUAUAAUAGUUAAAACUUUCAACAACGGAUCUCUUGGUUCUG